UCUUCUGUCCUGGUUAAGUGGCCUCACUUCGCAGGGCUUCCAAAGAGCACAACCAGGCAGCAUCACCUGAGUCCAGGCUCAAACUCCUGGUGUCAGCUGCUGCAUCCCCUGUCCCUGGAGCCCAGGAGUGGGACAGCCUGGAAGCCAGGCAGAGAAAAGCUGUGAGAGGUAAAGCAGGAGGAGUAAGGACUGGAACUGGCUUAAGAAUAAAGAGUGAAAGUAAGAGUACAGCUGGAUAAUGGGGUUUGCCAUGUCAGAUCAGGACAGAAAAAGAUUUGGGUCCAUGGUUACAUCCAUUCCUGAGCCCCAAGAGCUGGAAGCCAGCCAGGGUUGAUCAGAGACUCCAACCUUCUCCUGCUUCCUCACUGGAAAUCACUACCUGCCACCUCAGGAACUGCUGAAAUAUGUUCUCCACACCUCCUCUGAGCUCCCCACCCUCAGAAGCCUCCUUGGAUUUCCAAUUUAAUUCCUCCAGGGAGAGUGUGCCUGAAAGAAAGAAGCAUAAGCUUACUAAAUGAAUCUCUUAAUCACUGUCAUUUUAGUCCUAAAAAACCUAGCAAAAACAAAGGUAUAAUUUCUGCACACAAAUGGAAGUCCAGCAGUGAAUUUCCCCUCUGAUCACAUCCCUCUGGAGAAAUCUUUCUUGAUGAGCUGAUUUUUAUACAUCUAUAAAGCACAUUUUCUUUGAUAUUUUCAACGCUCAGCAAGGUGAAAAUGCUGGUCAAAAAUGGUUUAUUUCUAUGCAGAGAGAAAAGCAAUGUGUGCCCAAGCUUUGAAGUCUUGACUAAACCACAGUAUUCUCCGGAGGUGCUGAGCUCAGGUUGUUCUGGUGGAUCAGGCUUUAACCUGCUAAGACUGAGAGGACAUUUAAACUCCUGAUGGUGUUAAAGUUGUCCCAUGUUCCCAGCUGGUCAAAAUUUUGGUGCACCCAAUAUGAAAUAUCAUAGUUAAAUUAAUCUGAAUUAAUAAAAUGUGAUUUAUUCUGCAUUUUAAAGGGUCAUAACACACUCAGGGGGCAUGAGGCAGAAGGAAUACACCUUUCUCCUUAUGUUGGAGCUCACAGCAUUUAACCAUGUUCAAGUUUGGCCUGGUGAUCCUGUGCCCCCCUGGUGAGUGAAGUGCCUGUGGUGAAUCUGGGAUUUUGGACAAACUGGCAUAGAUAUUGUCUCCUUGCAGCUAAUUGUCCUGAGAUAAAUCUUUCUAUGAGGAAAUAGCUCUGCCUACAAAAGAAAUAAGUGAUUUGUGAAGGAAAGGCUGCAAUGAAAAAGCAGAAAGCUCAAUAGUGCAGUGAGUUACCUGAAAAUAGAGGAGGAAUGGCAGGAACUGAAAGCAGAGCCCCACUUUUCAUCCAUGCAGUGGGCUCGCCACACCAGGGGAAUGUUCUCCCAGAUUUGUGCAACAAAAGGAAUGUAAAGAAGCCCCACCAUCCUCUGCUUCCUCCCCCAGCUGGAUUAAAAUUGUGCAUUCAGAAAGCGAGCCGGGAUGGAUUCCAUGUAAUAAAUUCUGUUUGAAAGCUGGAAGGUUUGCAGCUAGCAGAGGAGGGAAGCUCUGGGACAGCCUUCAGCAAGAGGAGUGGGUGGCAGGCAGCAGCCUGAUGGGUUUUAUGAUGAAGCUUGAUCAGGUUUCGAGUGGGUUUGCAUGGAACAGUUGCCCAAGAUAGCAGGGACUGGAUGCUAUGACCUUUGAGGGCUCUUUCCAUCACAUGUUCCCUGCAAUUCCAAUGAAAUCAUGGGGUAUAACAGACAUAGUUCAAUAUUUUUCUGUUUCAUGGAAGGUACUUUAGUUUACACCAGCUGAGAAUUGCCCUAGUGUGGCCAAAGCCAAGGCUGGCAAUCUUUAAUCCUUGACACGUGUGACAACACCUCAGUCCUCUCAGCCCCCACCUGGCUUCCUGAUAAUACCAAGGAUGGCUUUAUUCUGCAGGGCCUUUUUCUAUUGUAGAGAUGUCAGCAAUGGCCUAUCUGGUGCCACAUUCAAAUAGAUAUUUCUCCCUUUGUCUGGCAAUAAAAGAUACCUUGAAAGAGCAAGGAUGGUGGUGAGAGUGUCAGGUGGGGUCACGAGGCGCAGGCAUUCCACAAAAGGGAACAAAAUAACAAUGAGAAAAUACCUCAAAAUACUUUCCAGAUAUAGCAGCCUAAUUAAUACAGCUAUUGUUUGCUCAGUGGCUGAACCUCCUUUUCCUGUGCUUGGAAAUGACUGCUGGGGAAUUAGAAGGAU